ensembl:snRNA U6 U6 spliceosomal RNA
CUGCUUGAUUCAGCAGCACAUAGACUGAAAAUUGGAACAAUACAGAGAAGAUUAUCAUGGCCCUGCACAGGAGUGACCAAAGAUUCAUGAAGUGCUCUGUGCUUUC